rnacentral:rRNA from 1 species
UACGGGGGGAGCAAACGUUGUUCGGAAUCACUGGGCGUAAAGGGCGCGUAGGCGGCUGAAUAAGUGGGAUGUUAAAUCCCCGGGCUCAACCCGGGACCUGCAUCUCAUACUGUUCAGCUCGAGCACAUCAGAGGAGACUGGAAUUCCCGGUGUAGCGGUGAAAUGCGUAGAUAUCGUCAAGAACACCGAUAGCGAAGGCAGGUCUCUGGGCUAUAACUGACGCUCAUGCACGAAAGCGUGGGGAGCAUACAGG